UACGGGGGGGGUAAGCGUUGUUCGGAAUUACUGGGCGUAAAGGGCUCGUAGGCGGCCAACUAAGUCAGACGUGAAAUCCCUCAGCUUAACUGGGGAACUGCGUCUGAUACUGGAUGGCUUGGAUUCGGGAGAGGAAUGCGGAAUUCCAGGUGUAGCGGUGAAAGGCGUAGAUAUCUGGAGGAACACCGGUGGCGAAGGCGGCAUUCUGGACCGACAUUGACGCUGAGGAGCGAAAGCCAGGGAGCAAACGGG
rnacentral:rRNA from 1 species